rnacentral:snRNA from 1 species
UUCGCUUCUCGGCCUUUUGGCUAAGAUCAAUGUGUAGUAUUAAAAUUAUAUAUAAAAUUGAUAAUAUGUUCGGUUUGUCUUAUAUAUCAAGGCUCAAGGGUCAUUUUGUCCUGGUUUUACAUUAUGUAAUACCAACCUGUAACGUAAUAUUAAU